rnacentral:rRNA from 1 species
ACGCUCGACACCUACGGGGGGCAGCAGUGAGGAAUAUUGGUCAAUGGACGCAAGUCUGAACCAGCCAUGCCGCGUGCAGGAUGACGGCUCUAUGAGUUGUAAACUGCUUUUGUACGAGGGUAAACGCAGAUACGUGUAUCUGUCUGAAAGUAUCGUACGAAUAAGGAUCGGCUAACUCCGUGCCACAGCCGCGGUAAUCUGAGCGGGCUGGCAAGGC